rnacentral:lncRNA from 1 species
GACAUUGGACAUUGACUCAAACAGGUACGCUCUUCAAAUCCUAAUUGGUGUUUUUGCAGUUAGAGAGAAAUUUGUUUUGUAAGAAACUGAGUAUAAAAUCUUGAGCUUCCUCAUUCUCUAUCAUUAAUCCUUAUGUUGAUUCAAAGACUAUAGUUAUGUCUUGCUAAGUAUAUCUAGAUACAUAUGCUUUGUUUCCUGUGUUGCUCUGUUUUCAAUGAUAUAUGCAUGUUGUGACAUCUACGGUCAAGAAUUUGAAAUAGACACAAGCUUUUUUUGUGAGAAUAUGUCUCUAAACUCUAAGGUAAGCAUUGUAAGAAACUCAUGAUUGUGACGAGUGAAAGAAUGGGUAGAUGUUGAUUUUGGCUUUUGAGGUAAAAAUCUCAUUGUCAUUUUCCUAAAUUAUUUUGAGGUGAACAAUGUUAAUACUUUUUCUUGCUUAUCUCUGUCCAUGGAAAGACUUGAGCUUUAUUGUAGACCGAUGAUGAAAAAAGUACAAAGCGUGUGGACCUGUUUUCACACACUGCAUCAGCAAAAAUCCAAGAUUUGUGAAAGGACAAGACAUGGUUUCCCAUAAAUAUCACAUGAAGAUAUUUCUAGUCUACACAUGUAGACAGAAAGAUCUGACAAUCACAAUAAUUCAAUACAGUACUGCGCAAGGGGCAGAUAUUUUGUGACCAGAGCCAUCAAGAGAGGUUUCAAGAUUCUGCAAUGGGGAAAGCUGAGCCGAUACGGUUGUUGCCAAGUCGGUAACAUUUGACAUUGACAUUGUAUGGACCCAACUGAAUGUGGUUAUCUUCUGUGCCCAUGAAGAAACACAUGGUGUAUAGAGCCAACUCGAACUCUGGACUUACUCCAACUAGAGUACUUGAGACUGAUUUUAGAACACCGUUCCACUCGAAUUGGAUUGUUAGCAGCUGAGUCUCUGAAUCAGGCUGCAUACGAAGCAAAAGUGUGGUUUCUCGGUCAGUCACCGGUUUUGAAGUACUUAUAUUUGGAGGACAUAUUUAGCAUUGAACGAAGCUAUGGUACUUACAAUUUCACCGCGACGUCGGGGAAAUAUAUAGCCUUGAUAAUCUACAGUUCCUUUGGCUUCCUCCAAGUAAAACUACAAGAAAAGAGAGCCAAUUUAAUCGGUUGUAAGUUUUACUGUUUUGAAUCGGACUUUCUUAGAGAUUUGAAUUCAUGGUAGGUGGAGGACAAAAAGUGUUUUACCUGAAGCCAGUUAUGGAAUCCAG